UACGGGGGGGGCAAGCGUUGUUCGGAAUUACUGGGCGUAAAGGGCGCGUAGGCGGCCAACUAAGUCAGAGGUGAAAUCCCUCGGCUUAACCGGGGAACUGCGUCUGAUACUGGAUGGCUUGAGAUUGGGAGAGGGAUGCGGAAUUCCAGGUGUAGCGGUGAAAUGCGUAGAUAUCUGGAGGAACACCGGUGGCGAAGGCGGCAUCCUGGACCAACACUGACGCUGAGGAGCGAAAGCCAGGGGAGCAAACGGG
rnacentral:rRNA from 1 species